rnacentral:rRNA from 1 species
GAAAAUUACAAGCAUAAGCUCAAAACUCAAAGGACUUGGCGGCGCUUUAGACCCCCCUAGAGGAGCCUGUCCUAUAACCGAUAACCCCCGUUAAACCUUACCUUCUUUCGCACUCAGUCUAUAUACCGCCGUCGUCAGCUCACCCUUUGAAGGAUCGCUAGUAAGCAAGUUUGGUUAAGCCCAAAACGUCAGGUCGAGGUGUAGCAUAUAAGAAGCGAAGAGAUGGGCUACAUUUCCUGUACAGGGACACGAAAAAUAUUUUGAAACAAACAUAUUGAAGAAGGAUUUAGCAGUAAGUAAAAAAUAGAGAGUUUUACUGAAACUGGCUCUGAAGCGCGCACACACCGCCCGUCAUUCUCCCCAAUUAUCAUUUUUACACUUACAUUAAAAUCUAACACCCACAAAGGGGGGACAAGUCGUAACAUGGUAAGUGUACUGGAAAGUGCACUUGGUUAAAA